rnacentral:rRNA from 1 species
UACGGAGGGGGCUAGCGUUAUUCGGAAUUAUUGGGCGUAAAGGGCGCGUAGGCGGCGCGGAAAGUCGUCGGUGAAAGCUCGGGGCUCAACCCUGAGUCUGCCGGUGAUACUCCCGCGCUCGAGCUCACUAGAGGCAGAUGGAAUUCCGGGUGUAGCGGUGGAAUGCGUAGAGAUCCGGAAGAACACCGGUGGCGAAGGCGGCUAACUGGUCCAGAUCUGACGCUGAGGUGCGAAAGCGUGGGGAGCAAACAGGG